GCUUUGUGUCGGGUAGUUGCCCCGCUCCGCGAAAAGCGGGACGGGGAGGAAAGUCCGAACACGGGCGCGUUGAAAGACGCGCGAGCAGGGUAGCGGGUAACGCCCGUCGUCCGCAAGGAUAGAGGUGCGAGCAGAGACGCUUUGAUUCGAAAGGAUCAAAGCUCCGACGGCAACGUCGGAGAGUCCCGAUGGCAACAUCGGGGGUGAAACGGCAAAAUCCUUACCUCCGUGCAAGGCCGUGCCCCGCUUUUAUGGCGGGGAGUGCCGCUUGAGGCGUUUGGCAACAAACGUCCCAGAUAAAUAACUAUCGCCGAGCACCACUUUUGACGAAAGGUUUAGGUGUUAAAAAGUGAUUCUGUGAGAAUCACUUUUAAUAACAGCUUUAUUUUGUUUCAAAAGUGGUGCUCGGUACAGAAUUCGGCUUAUAGACACAAAGCCUUG
rnacentral:RNase_P_RNA from 1 species